AACCUCGGACGAGACCAUGGGCUCAGCCCAAUCGAUCAUGAUCGAAAACGGUCUCUUCUUGGGCGGCGCCGAUCCGCGUCGUCCCGGGGCCGAGGCGAUCGCGCCCUGAGGGUCUACCUCCCCCCCUGAUCCAGGGGUCGCGAUCCGUCGGCGCCGGAGCUGCCCCUCCGGCGCCGAUUUU
rnacentral:sRNA from 1 species